rnacentral:rRNA from 1 species
CCCUUAGAUGUUCUGGGCCGCACGCGCGCUACACUGAUUCAUGCAACAAGUUUUGUCCUUGGCUGAUAGGCCUGGGUAAUCUUUGAACGUGAAUCGUGAUGGGGAUAGAUGAUUGCAAUUAUUCAUCUUCAACGAGGAAUUCCUAGUAAACGCAAGUCAUCAGCUUGCAUUGAUUACGUCCCUGCCCUUUGUACGCACCGCCCGUCGCACCUACCGAUUGAAUGGUCCGGUGAAAUCUUCGGAUCUGAGAGAUGUCUGAUUAAUUUCGGACGCCUUUUGGAAAAGUUGCUUAAACCUUACCAUUUAGAGGAAGGUGAANUCGUANCA